AUUGAACGCUGGCGGCAGGCCUAACACAUGCAAGUCGAGCGAGAGGCGGACGGGUGAGUAAUGUAUGGGGACUGCCCGAUAGAGGGGGAUAACUACUGGAAACGGUGGCUAAUACCGCAUACUAUCGGAUAACCCAUAUGGGAUUAGCGAGUAGGUGGGGUAAAGGCUAACCAGGGCAACGAUCUCUAGCUGGUCUGAGAGGAUGAUCAGCCAACCUGGGACGGCGACACGGCCCAGACUCCGACGGAGGCAGCAGUGGGUAAUAUUGCACAAGGGGCGCAUGCCUGAUGCAGCCAUGCCGCGUGUAUGAAGAAGGCCUUAGGGUUGUAAAGUACGUUCAGCGGGGAGGCGUUACCCGCAGAAGAAGCACCGGCUAACUCCGUGCCAGCAGCCGCGGUAAUUC
rnacentral:rRNA from 1 species